GAGGGGACAAAAUUGUUACAAUAUGUAGAUGACUUGUUAAUUGCCGGAACGACGGAAGAAAAGACACAGCUGUCCGGACUGCAGAAAGGAGCUGGACACACUCACCUCGAGU